AUUUCCCGUGUAACCAAGUAUUUUCCCUCUCCGUACCAUACAGUACAGAAACUCUUCAGCGCUGUUCUCAGAUCGAGAGGAUGGCUCGCCGACAUGUUUCUCAACUUCUUCUUCUUCGUUCCUACGGGACUUUUGUUCGCUGCUCCAAAAUCCCACCACCAACACUCUCUUCGUUGCCCCAUCAAGAACGCUGCCAAAACCACCUAAAUAAACGGAAAAUGAAUCACGUGCAUAGCAAAGCCUCUCCUGCUGAGACUCCGAUCGGAAUUGGGUCCCCGGCCAGAAUCCAAAAGCUCAUAGCUUCUCAACAAGACCCUCUCCUUGCCAUAGAAAUCUUCGACUUGGCCUCUCGCCAGCCCAAUUUCCGGCACUCUUACUCCGCCUUCCACACUCUGAUUCUCAAACUGGCCCGCGCUCGCCACUUCUCCCUCGCGCAAGGCCUCCUCCGUCGUCUCAAGACGGGUGACUCCCCCAUCACCCCUUCCCUCUUCUCCCACCUCAUUCGAAUCUACGGCGAUGCCCAACUCCCCGACAAGGCCGUCGCCAUUUUCUAUUCCAUCCCCCAAUUCAACACCCGGCCCCUCCCCAAGCACUUGAACCUCGUCCUCCAAGUCCUCGUCGCUCAUCCCGGCUACCUCCACCCCGCCUUCGACCUUUUCAAAUCCGCUGAACGUUACGGAAUAUCGCCAAACACCACGUCCUACAACAUUUUGAUGCGCGCCUUCUGUUUUAAUGGCCGUCUCAGCAUUGCCUACCACCUGUUCAACCAAAUGUUUCAGAGAGAUGUUGUUCCCGAUGUCGAGUCCUAUCGGAUUCUGAUGCAGGGAUUGUGUAGGAGGAGUCAGGUGAACAGAGCUGUUGAUUUGUUGGGGGAUAUGUUGAACAAAGGUUUCGUGCCAGACACUUUGAGUUAUACCACCUUGUUGAACAGUUUGUGUAGGAAAAAGAAGCUUAAGGAGGCUUACAAGCUACUUUGCAAGAUGAAGGUUAAGGGAUGCAACCCAGACAUUGUUCAUUACAACACAGUUAUCUUGGGAUUAUGCAGGGAAGGGCGUGCUCUUGAUGCUUGUAAGGUUCUUGAGGACAUGGCCUCAAUUGGGUGCUUGCCGAAUUUGGUGUCUUACAGAUCAGUAGUUGCUGGAUUAUGCAGUCAGGGCAUGUACCAUGAGGCUAAGAAUUAUACGCAGGAAAUGAUCUCCAAGGGGUUCUCUCCACAUUUUUCCAUUUUUCAUGCUUUGAUCAAUGGUUUCUGCAAAGUUGGUAAGAUUGACGAUGCUUGUGAACUAUUGGAAGAAAUGUUGAAUAAUGGCGAAACCCCACAUAUUGAUACUUGGGAGGAAAUUAUACCUAGAAUUUGUGACGUGGAUGUCACUGUCAAAAUCGGAAAUGACUUGGAAGAGGUUUGUAAGGUAGAUAUAACGCCUGACACAAGAAUAGCGGAUGCUGUUGCUGGUUUGGAGGAGUAUCUGAUCAGGAGAAUACGCUCUAGAUGCAAGGGUUUCCUAAAGACUUCUUAGCUAUUUUAUUGUCUCGUGCAUACACAGCUUCUUCUUUGUUGCAGAUAGGUAGAUACCAGCACCCUUUUUGCAGUACCCAAAUACAAGGAUUCAGCUUCUGAUCAGAGGGACCAGUUCUUGGCAUUCAAGAAACAGCUCCAAGGGAUUAUACUAUCUACUUCUAUUGAUUAGGGGGAUCAUCCAGUGAUUCUCUGCUUCAUUAGGCUAUAUUCACCCCUCGGUCUUGAGAAAGAAGGGUUGCAAGUGUAUGUGGGCUAUUUAAAGAAAAUCAUUGCUAUGAAAUCUAGGCUGGAGUUUGAGCAAUUAGUGGAACUCAUGGAACAACCCUCCGCAUGCCAGAAUAUUGUAAAUUUCAUGGCUUGUUUGACCAAUUUGUUCAAAGACAUUGUUUUGGCUGUUGAACAAAAUGAUGAACUUUUGCUGAGCCUUUGUGGAGAAGACGGUAUUUAGUAUGUCGUAUAUGAACUUCAAGAGGAGUGUGAUUCUAUGGGUUCUCUAAUUAUAAAGAAGUACAUGGAUUAUAUGAAAUUGGCUAAAUGACCUCAGACAAUAAUUCUUAUAAAAGUACUUUGUCCUCUGUUGGAGUUGAAGGACUGGACCACUGAUUGAGUUAUACCCAAAAGAAUAUUAUUCCUCCCACAAUUGGGUGAAGGCUACAUGGAAUACAUGAUUUAAAGAUCAAUUUAAGUUCAGUUGAUCCAGAAUUAGGUCCAAGAGCUACAAAAGCUUUUAGGGUUGAAAUUUUAGUAAAGUUGUGCAGGACAUCACAGGUUAUUUUGUGAUUUUGGAGGGAUUCUUCAUGGUGAAAAAUGUGAAAAAGGUUAAGAUUGAUGAACAUGUACCUUACAGCCUCACCACUUCCAAGGUGGAUGAAGUCUUCUAUGUUUUGCGCAGUUGCUUUAGGAGGUCAAUAUCCACUUGGAACGUUAGCUCUGUGAUUGCAGUACUGAGUAGUGUGUGAGCUUGUUCAGAAAUGGGUAUAAUGAAGCAUUGCAGCAGAAAAUGAGGGAGCCUAACCUUGGAGCAAAGCUAUUUGUAGGUGAUGUUGGCAUGCAACAGACUGGAACAGAGAUUGCUAGAGUCUCAAUAACGUGGAUGCCAGUAGUGAGGCUGCACUAAAACUGCGGCAGGAGAUUGAAGACCAACGUGCAGAGACAAUAAAGCAUGGACACUUCCUAGGGGUGGUUGUACCAGUGUUGCCAGCUUGUUGGACACUUUGACAACCCUCCGACACUUUCUUAAAUUUUUUUAUUAGGAUUAAGGAGGGGACACUUCGAAAACUAGAAAGUAUUCCCUGCAGUGGCAGACACAGAAAGGGCGAAAUCCUGUUUAUCCGAAUUAAAUAAGAUGAAUGAUAGCUUCAAGAAAGCCUUGAAUUAUGCGAAAGAGAUUCAGUCAGCUUGGAGAUCUUCAGCUUGGCAGGGAUGGUAGAGCAUUAGUGAGCUAUUUCUCUAGUAUGACUCAAAAGGACUUUUACAGACAAGUUUGCUCUCUCCUUGCCCAUAUGGCAACCAUCUUGAACUUAAAAAAAAAAAAAAAAAAGUAUCUGAAAUUCUAUAUUUCCGGGGAGAGACCUCUAGACCCAUGACUUUUGGAGACUUACACCUGCUGCUGAAGUGAGGAGGAAGUAGUUGCUGCUCUCAAAUUAUAAUCUCCAUCUAUAUAGCUUCUGCAUAUUUCAUUAUGUUUGUAGCUUUUACUUUUUCAAUUUUCAGUUGCUUUGUUAAUCUAUGGGACGGAGAAGAUACAAGAUGCCCUAGAUAUAUUAAUGAGUUUCUCUUCUUAUAGGGAUAAAGAUUUUAUUCCUUAA